rnacentral:rRNA from 1 species
AUUGAACGCUGGCGGCAUGCCUUACACAUGCAAGUCGAACGGCAGCACGGGGCAACCUGGUGGCGAGUGGCGAACGGGUGAGUAAUGCAUCGGAACGUACCUUUCAGUGGGGGAUAACGUAGCGAAAGUUACGCUAAUACCGCAUAUUCUGUGAGCAGGAAAGCAGGGGAUCGCAAGACCUUUCGCUGAUUGAGCGGCCGAUGUCAGAUUAGCUAGUUGGUGAGGUAAAGGCUCACCAAGGCGACGAUCUGUAGCGGGUCUGAGAGGAUGAUCCGCAACACUGGAACUGAGACACGGUCCAGACUCCUACGGGAGGCAGCAGUGGGGAAUUUUGUACAAUGGGGGCAAACCUGAUCCAGCCAUGCCGCGUGAGUGAAGAAGGCCUUCGGGUUGUAAAGCUCUUUCGGCCGGGAAGAAAUCGCACGGGCUAAUACCCUGUGUGGAUGACGGUACCGGAAUAAGAAGCACCGGCUAACUACGUGCCAGCCGCCGCGGUAAUAC